rnacentral:rRNA from 1 species
GAAGCGCAGUGGAAUCCGGUGGAAACAUCGGCGCCCGCAAGGGCCGCUAUAUAGGUGCUGCAUGGCUGUCGUCAGCUCGUGUCGUGAGAUGUUGGGUUAAGUCCCGCAACGAGCGCAACCCUUAUCGUUAGUUGCUAACGCGUUAUGGCGAGCACUCUAGCGAAACCUGCCCCGGACAACGGGGAGGAAGGUGGGGAUGACGUCAAGUCCUCAUGGCCUUUAUGUCCAGGGCUACACACGUGCUACAAUGGUCGGUACAAACCGUCGCAAACCCGCGAGGGGGAGCUAAUCGGAAAAAGCCGACCUCAGUUCGGAUUGGAGUCUGCAACCCGACUCCAUGAAGCUGGAAUCGCUAGUAAUCGCGGAUCAGCAUGCCGCGGUGAAUACGUUCCC